UGGAGGUUUGCUGUCUGAUUCAUUUGAAAAUCUGCUUGGUGUGAAACAAGGAGAACUGUUAUCUCCUCUGUUAUUUUUAUUCUUCAUAAACGAUAUAGUCAAUGAUUUGUCUAUUGAUGCAACUGAUGAUGUCGUAACUCUGAACGAAUAUUUGAUAUACCUAAUUUUAUUCGCAGACGAUACCGUUUUGUUUGGGAAAUCACCUGAUAUUUUAC
rnacentral:lncRNA from 1 species